rnacentral:rRNA from 1 species
UACGUAGGGUGCAAGCGUUGUUCGGAUUCAUUGGGCGUAAAGGGUGCGUAGGCGGCGCGGUAAGUCGGGUGUGAAAUCUCGGAGCUUAACUCCGAAACUGCAUUCGAUACUGCCGUGCUUGAGGACUGGAGAGGAGACUGGAAUUUACGGUGUAGCGGUGAAAUGCGUAGAUAUCGUAAGGAAGACCAGUGGCGAAGGCGGGUCUCUGGACAGUUCCUGACGCUGAGGCACGAAGGUCAGGGGAGCAAACGGG